rnacentral:rRNA from 1 species
GUGUCAGCAGCCGCGGUAAUACGGGGGGGGCAAGCGUUGUUCGGAAUUACUGGGCGUAAAGGGCGCGUAGGCGGCCUGCUAAGUCGGAUGUGAAAUCCCUCGGCUCAACCGGGGAACUGCAUCCGAUACUGGCGGGCUUGAAUCCGGGAGAGGGAUGUGGAAUUCCAGGUGUAGCGGUGAAAUGCGUAGAUAUCUGGAGGAACACCGGUGGCGAAGGCGGCAUCCUGGACCGGUAUUGACGCUGAGGCGCGAAAGCCAGGGGAGCAAACGGGAUUAGAAACCCCUGUAGUCC